AGCAUUGGUUAUAGAAUGGGAUCAGAUUUUGAAUGGCAAGAUGCUCAGCUGUACCUUCCAGUAACUGGUCACCUACUAGCUACCCAAGCUGCACCAAAUCUCUUCUCCCUCUCCUCCUGUUGGAGUUCUCAAAUGAAAGAUGCCCCUGUGGCUGUGGGUUGUUUGGCUAAGGAUUUUCUACCUGAUUCCAUUGAUUUCUCCUGGAGCUACCAAAACCGAAGUGCCGUGAGUAACACAGAUUUAAAGAUCUUCCCAUCCCUUAUGAGAGGCAGCACAUACACAGCCACCUCACAAGUGAUCCUCCAUGCCAAUGAUGCCUUCCAAGGAGAAGAUAGCUACUUGGUAUGUAAGACCCGUCAUCCCAGAGGCGACAAAGAAGUUCAAGUUCCACUUCGAGAUCACAUCAUCAAUUCCCCUAAUGUGACUGUGUAUAUCCCGCCCAGUGAUGCAUUCUCCAGCUCUAGCCCAAGAACAUCCAAGCUCAUCUGUCAAGCCACCAACUUCAGGCCGAAUAAGAUCAAGUUAACAUGGCUUCAAGAGGGCAGGCCAGUUCUGUCAGGUAUCUCUACAGGUCAAGUCCUACCUGAUGGCUCUGGGACCUAUCUCCUACAAAGCAGCCUGACUAUCAAUGAGAAUGACUGGCUCAGCCAAAAUACAUUCACCUGUCGUGUAGAACACGAAGGGGCCCAAUUCCAGAAGAAUGUUUCCUCAACCUGUUUCAGUGAGGGCCCAGAAUUACCCAGUGAAGCCUUUGCCAUCGCCCCCACCUUUGCAAGCAUCUUUGUUACCAAAUCUGCCAAAUUAACCUGUCUAGUCACAAACCUUCCCACUGCUCAAAAUCCAAAUAUUACCUGGACCCGUGCAAAUGGACAGCCUCUGGAAACUACCAUUAAGCUGUCCCUCAGCCACCUCAAUGGCACCUUUAGUGCUGAGGGAGAAGCCACAGUCUGUGCAGAGGACUGGAAUGCAGGGGAAAUAUUCAAAUGCACCGUGAUUCAUCCUAACCAUCCUGUUCCUCUGAAGAAAGAAAUCUUUAAGCAACAGGGGGCUGUCAUGCACGCACCAGCUGUCUAUCUGUUGCCUCCAGCUCCUGAGGAGCUAACCCUGAGGGAAGCAGCUACCUUAACCUGCCUGAUGAGGGACUUUUCCCCAGCAGAUGUGUUUGUCCAGUGGCGGCACAAAGGACAGCCUAUACCCUCAGAGAAAUAUGUCACCAGCAGCCCCCAGCAGGAGCCCCAGAAAGCUGGUCUCUACUUCUCUCACAGCACCCUGACAGUGUCUGAAGAGAACUGGAAUGCAGGGGAUUCCUAUACCUGUGUGGUGGUUCAUGAAGCACUGCCCUUGUCAGUGACCGAGAAGACCGUGGACAAGUCCACUGAAGGGGAAGUUAAUGCUGAAGAAGAGGGAUUUGAGAACCUGUGGACAACAGCCUCUACAUUCAUUGUCCUCUUCCUGCUGAGUCUCUUUUACAGUACAACAGUCACUUUGUUCAAGGUGAAAUAAAUUCGUGCUUGAAAGACAAACAUCUGAAAACAAAGAGCUUGAACCAAAAGAAGGCAUAAUUCCCUGAAGGCCUGAGCCAUGCUCCCCCUGCUGAUUGAUACAAUUCACCUUUUCAACUAUUCUUGGAAGACCAAGAGGCUCCCAAGCAUGUGGGGGUGAUGGAGAGGGAAGGAGGGAGGGCUUAACUUUUGAUUUCUAUGUGGUUUUCCCACAUCUUUUUAUUACUUUAUGUAGUACUCACCUCCUGCAACCUCUCUUAUGUCCUCCCUCCUUAAAUUAGGAUGUAAAAGAAAGAAAUGUAUAUUUCUUAAGCACAACUAAUUGCAUUUUACUAGUUAACAAAACUAGUAAAAACUAAAAGUUGUUACAGACCGCAAUGUCAUUU